GCUGCUCCGGGAGAAGGCGGAGGAAGGGCAGGUGUCCCUCGCGGGCUGGCAGAGGCUGGGGGCUCUCUUCCCACCCCUCUUCUGCCGGGCUGGCGGCGGCGCCACUCCCGUCUCAUCGGAGCGGGCGGCGCUCGAGGCUGAGCGCGGCUCGGGGCAGCGGGAAGGCUGCGGCUCCGCCUGGAGGUGCCGCCCGUCGCGGGCACCCACUUCGCUGCCCUGGGAACCCCAGCUCCUUGCCGGGGAGCCUUGCUCCCCUGCCCGGAGCGGCUGCUUCGGCUGAAGGAAAUCGGUCCCUUGCGCGCCAGCAGGAUGGCGAGGACCAUGAGACCCGACAACAUCAACCCCCGGACGGGGCUGGUGGUGGCUCUGGUCAGCGUGUUCCUGGUCUUUGGGUUCAUGUUCACCGUGUCCGGCAUCAAGGGAGAGACUUUGGGGGACAUCCCGCUGCUGGCCAUUGGGCCGGCCAUCUGCCUGCCGGGCAUCGCCGCCAUCGCCCUCGCCAGAAAGACCGAUGGCUGCACCAAAUGGCCCAAGAACAAGUGCCCCUGCUGCAAGGAAGUCAAGGACCGGGAUGUGAUGGAGCUGCUGAGGACCCCCUCAGACCUGGAGUCCGGCAAGGGGAGUUGUGAUGAGCUGGCCAAGAAAGCAUACCAGAAGGACAGGAGAGUGCUGCGAGGCGAGGACUCCGUGUCCAUCUGCACCACCACCACCACCACCACAGUGGGAGAGUGCAAGAGCCUCAUCAGAAAGGUGGAGCAAGAGGAGAUGCUGAGAUACCUGGAAACCUGUUACCCAGAGAUGCCGGGGAAUGUGUUCGUGGGAGAUGGCUCCACAUACAGUGCCUUGGAGAAGAAGAGGUCUUCUCCCACCAGGGACGCUGACGCUUGCCCUGAUGUUGAAGACAACAUUUUUGUGGCUCCUAAAGACAGUAUCAUUGUCUGCUCUUACAAGGAGAACAGUCCUUAUGACAAAUACUGUUGUUACAUAAACCCCACUGGAGUCAACUCAGACCAGGAGACCAUAGUGUGAACAGUGCAUACUUUAUAAAUAUGUAUGUAUUCAAAAACUACAACUUCAAUUUCUUGAUAGGGGAUAAUAUAGCUGACUGCACUGCAUGGACAAUCCUGAUACUAUUACAAUUUAACCUGGUAUGUGACUGAUACUCAAACCUUUUGUGCCUGAAAUACUCUUUCUAAUUCCAGAAGAUACGCUGCCAUCAAAAGUAACCUCAGUCCAACAGCAAUUCUCCAGUAUUUAUGACUACAUAGAAUAACUGCCAAGCAAGAUCAAAGUGAGAGAUCUAUGGAUUCUGGAGUCACAGCUCUGAGAUGACAGCACUGACUUUUAGUAGGAAAGUGUAAAAGUAGCUAAAUAUCUUUCCAACUUUGCAAAGAACAAGUAUACUAAUUCAUUCACAACUGAAUGUUAUCUAUUAAAUAAACAUCUAUCAAAGGGUUUCUGUUGUAAUUAGUUCAAAUCAAAUCAAGAAUAAUAUGCAGUAAUUUUGCUACAUAACUUACUAUACAAAAGACGAUCAGUCUUCUGUUUUUCAUGCAUUAAAUCCUGUGUUCUCUCAGAAACCAGUAUCUCCAGAUGUUUGCUGUACUUCUCCAUCUAAGUAGCACAGGGAAUUGCAAAAAAUAAUUCUUCUACUGAAAAUAGAUUCUUAGUUGGAUAGGAUUUAAGCAUUUGUAUUAUUCUGAUUUGAAAACAUUCAGAUAAGCAAAGGCCCAGGUCUGACAGAGACAAUUUUUUCUUACAAAAUCCAAGAUCAGAUUUCUCCCUAAGUAAAUUUGUGAUUCUAGAUUUGAGACUGUUGCUUACACCUAUGAGGGCAGAAGCCAGUUCUAGGUUUUUCAAAAUCUAUGUAAAUAUUAGGGGACAAAUCCAAAGCAGAGACCAAGCUGCAGACAUGGAUUUAAAUACAUUACCAAACUCAAAGGUAUCUAAGUACUCAGCCUUUUGUCAAAAGCUCACAAUGCUGUUUUGUAAACGAUUCUGCGAUGCCAUGCUAUACUGCACUUUUUGCAUCCUUGUUCUAUGUGAAGCACCAGGCUGUGAAGGCAGGAAUCUCUUUUUUUUUCUCUGAUAGGCUUAAGGUACUCUGCUCAAAAUGCAUCUGUAAACAUGUUAUUUGUGGCAUGCAGGGAUUCUUUAGCCCCAGCACUGUAAGACAACCACUGAACCACUGGAAAAAGAGAAGAUUGUUUCCUGUGAGUACUUUAAAAGCCAAACAACAUUUGACUGAAGAAACAAAAAGUUUUUAAUCCCAAAGAAGUUAAGAAAGUUAAGAAAAUCUGACAGAAAUGGAAUCAAAAGGAAAGCUGGGUCUCAAGCAUAACUGUAGCUUCAAUCAGCCCAGAGAUAAAUGAAUCACUGUGGAUUUUCUCAUCAAACGAGGUUGAGAUCAAAAAACAAACCUGAAGGAUAGAGAUGAAAGUUAUUGCAAGUGAGCACAUUGACUUGGAUUGGAUUAAAAACUGAAUUUACCAGAGUCAUCAUCAUGUCGACAGGGCUAACUUUGUUUGGAUUCAUCUUGUAUAACAUUUUCUUGACUUGUUCAAAUGUAGGCCUUUGGGCUGGGUUGUGUUUUCUGCACCUUCUGAUUAACUGCAGCAGGGAGAGUGAGAAAAGCAAACAUCCUUUUGUCAUUCCAAGCACAGGAAGUGUUUCAAAUUAAUACUACUAUUUUCUCUGUGUAAACUGUCCAUGUGAAACCCUCUCUGCAGCCGGUGAAAAGUGACAGGGCUACACUGAGGUCUUUGAAGUUGUAUUGGUUUAUGCUGAGUGGAAAAUGUUAGUUCACGAAAAUUCUCCUAGAGAAAGUAAUGACUGGGAUGCUCACAUUCCUUCUGUCAAAGAUUGCUUAAACUCUUGUCUUGUGCUUCAAGACAGUGUUAUGCUGUGGGAGUCACAUAGUGUUUUUAGAGGACUUGUCUGUACACGAAAUUCACAAAAGAUUAAAAACUGUUAAUUCUUAAGAAUGUUAACUCCUGAUCAAAAACCAGUGGUGUUCAUGAGAAGUUUGUUAUAUUUAGUUUGCUACAAACCACCGAAUUGUGCAGCUUUCAUCCUGAAGAAAGGAUGUCACAAUCUUUUGAACUGGGAGGGGUGUACUUUGUUUUAUUAGGUAGUUUGAGGGUACAGAACCUUCCGCAUGAGAAUGAAGCCAAACUCAUACUUUGCCUGAGACACACUUCACUAUUUGAAAGUCCUUUGCCAGUAAAGUAAAUAAAUAUUAUUAAUACAAAAUAAGUACAGAGCUCAACACUUUAUAAUAAAAUGAAAAUGCACAAGAAUCAAUGAUUCAAUAUUGAAAGCAUC